rnacentral:rRNA from 1 species
UACGUAGGGGGCUAGCGUUGUCCGGAUUUAUUGGGCGUAAAGAGCGUGUAGGCGGCCAGGUAGGUCCGUUGUGAAAACUCGAGGCUCAACCUCGAGACGUCGGCGGAAACCCUCUGGCUAGAGUCCGGAAGAGGAGAAUGGAAUUCCCGGUGUAGCGGUGAAAUGCGCAGAUAUCGGGAAGAACACCCGUGGCGAAGGCGGUUCUCUGGGACGGUACUGACGCUGAGACGCGAAAGCGUGGGGAGCGAACAGG